AUUUCAGGCUACACCCACCACAACAAAAUUUGUGCGCAUUCCCGAAUCCUUUCUGAUCAACUCCCUACCAUUCAUUACACAGAGCAGAAAUGCUUCUGUGGCUAAACUUGGUGUCCUUACUAGCAGUCCUCCACGGUGUCCAAUCUGAGGUCCAGUUGGUGGAGUCUGGAGGGGAUGUGAGAAGACCUGGAGGGUCCCUCCGUCUCUCCUGCCAAGCCUCUGGAUUCACCUUCAGCAGCUAUUACAUGUACUGGGUGAGACAGGCUCCAGGGAAAGGACUGGAAUGGGUGGCAGAGAUAGGUACAUCCUCAUCUCCGAUUAACUACUUGGACAAAGUCAAGGGACGUUUCACUAUCUCCAGGGACGAUUCCCGCAGCCAGCUGUAUUUGCAAAUGGACAGUCUGAAACUGGAAGACACGGCAGUUUAUUACUGUGCUAGAGACACAGUGAGAGGAAGUGAAUCUGACGCCAAGCAAGAACCUUCUCAUCAGAGCAGCUGUUCAAAUUGA